CUUAGCUCAGUUGGUAGAGCAACGGAUCGAUAAUCCGGAGAUCGCAGGUUCAAAUCCUGCAGA
rnacentral:tRNA from 1 species